GGUGCUAACUGGAGUGAUGAUCAACAUGGGUCUGCUGCCUGGCCAUGUGUGACGUCGGCAAGGUUGGCGUGCGUGGCCUGAAGUGAUGCUGGCAUGCUGGGGCGGGAUGUUUGAAAGAUCAUAGUGGCCAUUUUUUUUUUUUUUUUUUUUUUUUUUUUUUUUUUUAUCAUGGAGGCCUCGUAACUCGCUAUGGGCGCGUGUUUGAAAGUCCAUAAUGUUUGCUCCGCCCACCUUAGCCAUAUUUCCUCGUAGCGCUACGAUUUUCUAAGACCACUUGUUGGCUCAACGUAGGUCGCUUAGUGGAGGUUUCUCAACAAUACAACUUGUACAUAGUGCAGUUGAGUUUGUUUAUGUGUUGUUGUUCUUGUUGGCAUGUGUGCAGUGAAGAGGUAAUGGAGUUACAAGUGAUAUAAUAGCAAGAUCUGGCAGUGUAGAGCACUGCGGCAAGAAAGACUGUGGCUGACAGCCAGAACCUUACCAGUGCAAACUAAUGAUACCAAAGUUGGCUAAACAAAAAAAAAAAAAAAAAAAAAAAACAGCAACAGUAUUAUUAAGGAAGGUAUCAAUCAGACAAGCCUGGGAUAUCUUUUUAUAAGUAGAACAACAAUCUCUGAAAUAAAUGAAGGAAAUUGAUGAAAGCUUCCCUUCCUGUGGCUAAACUACAGAAUUACCUUGACUGCAUUAGAAUCACAGACGCAUCAACCAAGAAAACUAAGCCAUGCCAGUGUAUAACUUGGAAGAAAAAAUUAAACAGCACAGUGCACAAGUUUGUGACAUUGUAGGCAAUGUUAAAUAUAUUUCAAGGAAACUUUUUAAAAAUAAUUUUGUGACAAAAAUAUCAUUAAUUUACCAGUUUUCAGUUGUUCCUGUCUUACGGCAACAUGCUUCUUCUUCAUGUGAGAUUUGAAGUUAACAAUUUUUUUCUUUACCUCCUACGUGUCUCUCAAGACUUGCCCAGCAGCAUCCACCUCUUGAAGUAUCUCAUCCCUCACUUGCCUUUUUCUCUCGGCGGUCACUUACCGGUUCAGUUUGUCCCUAAGGGCCGCCUGUCUGUCCAGCCAACCCUCAGUCAUCGCCAGCCUCUCUUCACCACUAAAAUUAGGUCUACAAAUUUGUUUUGUGGCUGGUUCUUCACCUGACAUGGCCACCAAGUAGUGUUGCGUUGCUAUCGUGGUGUCAGCAGGAGGGCAGCCUGGUGACGUGUUGUCACGGAACCAUCUUUUAUCAUGUGUACUUUUGGGCCGGGUUAGCGGAACUGAACAGACUGAAAUGAACAUGCGAGGCAGAACGCACCGAGAGUCACCGUGGGUUACGAGGGAUGCUGCAAGCGUUUGACAAUACUCCCCAGUGAACGUCACAGCCCACGAUAAAAGGUGGCGGCCGAGGCGGUAAACACGAGUAUUGUAGCAGCAUCUGGCAAUGAUCUUUUGAACAUCCCACCCAUUCCCCAGGUCAUAAUACACGGCAGCCAUCCCUAGCAUGCAGGGGUGCCAACUGUUGCCACCAUGACCGCCAGACGUGUCAAGUAGUAUCUCCAUUGUGUCAGAAUGAAGACCUUGUUUUUCAAGUGUUGGGUGUUGCUGUGCGGGGACCACCACUGCCAGGCCGUCGUGAAGUGUAGACUCCCUCUAUCAAUAUAUCUACUUUAUUUUUUUUAUCUAUUUUAUUAUAUUAUUUUACUUUAUUUAUUUAUUUAUUUUUUUUUUUUACUUUUCACUGCACUUCGUAACGUACCAAAAAGUUUAAAAAAUUGUAUUUAAAAAAAUGGCAUACUGUCUCUCCAAAACUCGUCCAAGAAACUUAAGAAAACUGAUGUUGUUAUGCAAAGCCACAUUAGAUAUCAUUUUUUCCAUUACGCUUUACUCAAAACUUGCUAUAAAAAAAAUGUAAAGGCUAAAAAAAAUCCUCUUACCAUUAUGAAAACUGAAGUAGAUAGUUUUUUUUUUUUCAUUACUAUCUCUUGCUCCAAAAAUUUCUCCCCCACAAGAAAUAAAGAAGAUAGAAUUGAUGCUGAUGUGAAAACAGAUAUAAUUUUUUUUUUCAUUGUAUCACUUCUUGGUCCAAAACUUACCAAAAAGAAAUGAUUAAAGUAAAAUAAAAUGCAAUAAAACACUUUUGAAUUAGAAAAAAAAAGUAAAAAACUCGUCACAAGGAAAACUUAAUUAUUUUUUAUUACAUCACAUCUUGCUCUAAAACUCACCAGAAUAAAUAAAUAAGGUAAACUAACAAGAAUAAAAAAAAAGAUUCUUUGUGGAUAAAAAGUUGACUAAAACACAAUCAUUAUAAAAUUUUAAAUCGAUGUAACUUUUCAAAUACAUUACACUUUGUUCCAAAAACUUACCAAAUAAAUAAAUAAAUAAAGGUAAAGUAAACGAAACCCUUCAUUGUGCAAUCAGUAUUUACGUCAAACACACCAAUAUUUAUCGUUGUUUAAUGCCUAUUUAUAAAAAAAAAAUAAAUAAAUGAAUAAAUAAAAUAGAAUAAAAUAAAUAGAUAAAAAUAAAAUAGAUAAAAAAAAACAAUAAUGUGAUCUUAAUUAAAUAAACUCAACAAUAUUUUCGCUUAUUUUUUAACGGUAUUUAAUCAUUCUCAGCUUGUGUAACUCCAAAACACAUUACGUAUACCAAAAACAGUGAGGUAAUGAGUACUAGUAUAUUAUGAAGAGCGGAAGUAAUGACGAGACUGGAAUGAAUUGGUUCUCGACUGGAAUGGACUCGUAAUCAGGCUGUUAGUGCCGAGUCAAAAGGGACCUUGGAAAGACUAGAUGAAUGUAGGCAGAUGAAUGUAGCAUGGUGAUGACAGGUGGAAACAGACAGGCGUGUUUCAUACAGGGACUGCCACGUGUAGGCCUGCUGGCUUCCUGCAGCGAGGCGUUCUUGUGUUUAGCAAGUAACAAAGUGAUGAAAUACGAAAUCAUACAAUAACAAAAACAAAAAAUUAAAAAGUUAAAUAAUAAUAAUAAUGAUAAUACAAGCAAAAGAAAUAAAGAAAUACAAAUAACACUAAAAGAAAAAAGUGACAAGCUGGAAACCUAACGAAAAACAAAAAAAAAGCAAAAUUAAAAAGUUAAAGGAAAAAAAAAAAAAAAAACUACAUUUCAUCAUUGCAAUACAUGUGUACACCUCUUGCCUGUAUACAAUAAGACCAUACACGACCACACGACCAUCCUGUAGACCGUAGCCUCAGUAUGGCCUCGUGGUUGUUUAUCUCUACCAUACAAGGACCAAGGAAGCAAAGGGGCGUUCUUGACUAACCCAACUUAACCUAACUGUGACUGUUUAAAUUGUAGGCACUGUUUAUUGCCGGCCAUAUAGUAUACAGUGUGUGUGUGUGUGCGUGUGUGUGUGUGAAGCUGGUAAUAUACGUUUCUUAAGACACUACUCUCUCUCUCUCUCUCUCUCUCUCUCUCUCUCUCUCUCUCUCUCGUAUGACACACACACACACACAUACGCACACACACAGCACCCCAUACCCAUACCAGCCAUAAAUCAAUAAGAAUAAGAAUUAUGUUGUACUUUGUAACCACCGCCCACCAUUACUCCCCCCCCCCCCACAGUCAGUCAGUCAGUCAUUGUCAAUACAACUGUCAGAAUUGAA